rnacentral:lncRNA from 1 species
UUAAAUAUUCACAAGGACUUCAGCUAUACAAUUGUUUUUGGAUUGAGAACUUUUCUGGAGGAGAAGUUUCAAGGUUUUUUAGAUAGCAGAGAGUACACAAGUUGUAAACUUCUGCAUAAACCGAAUGAAACUCAUUCCUUAAAUAGAAAAAUUCUUGGGAGCAAAAAGUCAAAUCUAUCCUUGAGAAAGGCACACGUUUCACCGAGAAACUUCUGGCCAUUCUAACAAAUGGUAAAAAUUUCUGUCUUUUUGCUAAAAAUUCUAAAGGUCUACAGUUGGGAAUCUUUUCUUUUUCAAAAAGUCCCGACACCUUUUCUAAUAAUACAACAAUAAUGAAAAAAUUUUCAAAAAGUCUACAACAUAAUGAUAAAAAGUCUUCUAUUUUUUCUUCUUUUNUUUCUAAUAAUACAACAAUAAUGAAAAAAUUUUCAAAAAGUCUACAACAUAAUGAUAAAAAGUCUUCUAUUUUUUCUUCUUUUCUUUCAGAUUUGUCUUGUUAUACAUUAUUGAGGAUCUUUAUCACGUAUCAAAAUUGUGACGUGCCACUAAUGAAAAUAACAUUUCACUGUCUGAAUUAUUGUAUCCUUCGUUCUGUGAAUCUUCGUCUUCAUCUGAAAAUCUGAAAUUACUGGCUUCAUCUUUUUCUUUUUGAUCUGGACAUUCUGCAAUUUCUUUCUUUUCUUCAUGAUUCUUUUUUAGAAUUGUCUCAAAUGCUUGAUUUACUGCUUCUCUAAUUUGUUCUUUUAUCUUUCAUCAUUUUUCUUCUUCUUAAUCUUUUUCUUUUUCUGGAAGUUCCUUCAUCUUUUUUGGAUUGCUUAUGAAACUCUUCAAUUUUUUCAAAAAUCUUUUCUAGAGAAACAAUAUCUGGAUUAGGGUCUUGUGAUUCUUGAAAAAAUAAACAGUAUUGACUAUCUUGAGCCACCAUUUUUUCUUUUUCCUUACUAAGCUGAAUUUUUUGGGCUUGUGAAAAAUCUGGAUUAUUUGAGAAGUGUUCUGGUGAAAAAUGUUCUGGUGGACUAUAUUUGACUCAAUAAUCUAGAAAAAAUAGAUUUUGGAACCAUAGAACUAAUUGAAAAUGAAAAGAUUUAUGAUAUGUUGAUAACAGAACAAGAAAUAGAAAAUUUAAUAUCUAGAUUAGAAAAAAUAGAAAUAAUAGGAGAAAAUGUUUUAAAAUACUGGGAGAAAGAUAAAAUCUUAUGUGAAUUAAAAAUUAAAAAUCCAGAAUACAUAAUUAAAAC